rnacentral:rRNA from 1 species
ACCCAAUAGAUACCCGGGUAGUCCCAGCUGUAAACGACGCAGACUCGGUGAUGGGUUGGCUUUGCGCCAAACCCAGUGCCGCAGGGAAGCCGUUAAGUCUGCCGCCUGGGGAGUACGGUCGCGAGACUGAAACUUAAAGGAAUUGGCGGGGGAGCACCAUAAGGGGUGAAGCCUGCGGUUCAAUUGGAGUCAACGCCGGGAAUCUUACCGGGGGCGACAGCAGUGUGAAGGUCAAGCUGAAGACUUUACCAGACAAGCUGAGAGGAGGUGCAUGGCCGUCGCCAGCUCGUGCCGUGAGGUGUCCUGUUAAGUCAGGUAACGAGCAAGAUCCCUGCCUCUAGUUGCUACCACUGUUCUCAGGAACGGAGGGGCUAAUUAGAGGGACCGCCGCCGCUGAGGCGGAGGAAGGAGGGGGCUACGGCAGGUCAGUAUGCCCCGAAACCCUCGGGCCACACGCGGGCUGCAAUGGUAAGGACAACGGGUCCCGAUCCCGAAAGGGGAGGCAAUCCCACAAACCUUACCUCAGUUAUGAUUGAGGGCUGAAACUCGCCCUCAUGAA